rnacentral:rRNA from 1 species
AUUGAACGCUGGCGGCAGGCCUAACACAUGCAAGUCGAGCGGAUGAAGGGAGCUUGCUCCUGGAUUCAGCGGCGGACGGGUGAGUAAUGCCUAGGAAUCUGCCUGGUAGUGGGGGAUAACGUCCGGAAACGGGCGCUAAUACCGCAUACGUCCUGAGGGAGAAAGUGGGGGAUCUUCGGACCUCACGCUAUCAGAUGAGCCUAGGUCGGAUUAGCUAGUUGGUGGGGUAAAGGCCUACCAAGGCGACGAUCCGUAACUGGUCUGAGAGGAUGAUCAGUCACACUGGAACUGAGACACGGUCCAGACUCCUACGGGAGGCAGCAGUGGGGAAUCUUGGACAAUGGGCGAAAGCCUGAUCCAGCCAUGCCGCGUGUGUGAAGAAGGUCUUCGGAUUGUAAAGCACUUUAAGUUGGGAGGAAGAGCAGUAAGUUAAUACCUUGCUGUUUUGACGUUACCUACAGAAUAAGCACCGGCUAACUUCGUG